UUCUAGGCUAGGGGCUGAAUCAGAGCUGCAGCUACUGCAACGCAGGAUCUGAGCCACGUCAGCAACCUAUACCAUGGCAACACCAGAUUCUUAACUCCUUGAGCAAGGCCAGGGAUCAAACCCGCAUCCUCAUGGAUACUUGUUGGGUUCUUAACCGGUUGAGCCACGACAGGAAGUCCUAUUUUGCUUUCAUCUUUAGAUCAGUUGAAGAGAAAAAUCAUUCAUUUAAAAAAUAAAAAACACGGAGUUGCCAUUGUGGCUCAGUGGGUUAAGAACCUGACUAGUAUGCAUGAGGAUGAAGGUUCAAUCCCUGGCCUUGCUCAGUUGGGUUAAGGAUCUGGUAUUGCCCCGAGCUGCUCGCAGUGUAGGCCGAAGAUGCUGGGUGGCAUUGCUGUGGCUGUGGUAUAGACUGCCAGCUGCAGCUCUGAUUCGACCCCUAGGCUGGGAACUUCCAUAUGCUGCAGGUGCAGCCCUAAGAAGAAAAUAAAUAAAUAAAUAAAUAUUAAAAAACAAAAAUAAUUUUGGUCCGUCUACUAAAUAGCUUAAAACAUUUUAAUUUUUAAUUGUAGCAGACAUUAAUGUUAAGGGAAAACAAACACAAAACAAACAAAACAACAAUAAAAAGUGGGUAUCGAUCCCCAUGGCAGAAAGUUCUCAAGCACAAUUGUCGAUCUCACAUAACAUACUUACUUUGCAUUGUCACUGAGGAUACUGGUAAGAGGAACUUUUCUUUAAAACCAGAAGACAAAAAUAGAGCUCAGAGACCAGAUUUUGAUUUUGAGAAAUAAAACAAACCCUGGAAGUAUUUUAAGCCAUAGGUAAUUUCAAAUGAAUAGGAAAAAUUACCUCUGCUUGUGUCAUGAGAAAAUAAACAUUCAGAAGUUACUCAGAAGAAAAUUUCAUGCAGUUAUGUUUAAAGUUAAACAUCUCAAAGCAAAUACUUUGCUUUUUCAUAGUAAAUGUUUAUCCCAUGAGCGAUAAAAGAGAAAAUGUAUGUAAAAACCUUAGUAUAGUCAGAGUUCCCUGGUGGCCUAGGACUUGGCAUUGUUACUGUUGUGGCUCAAAACACUGCUAUGUCUCAAGUUCAGUCCCUGUCAAGGCACUUCUAUUGGUGCAGCUAAAACAAACAAACACCCCUUAGUAUAGUGCCUGGCACUUUAACCAACCCAGAAUAUCAAUUAAUUCACUAAACAAAUGUUUACAGAAUGCUUACUGGGUGCUGGACUGCCUGCUCGGUGUUAAGGAUGCCAUGGGGAAUGGGACAGAUGAGAUCCCUGCCCGUAUGGAGCUUAUAGUUUAGUGAAAAAGACAAUAAACAUAAACACAUAGAUUAAAUAAAUAAGGUGUGUGACCAGGAACAGCAGAGAGGACCUAUGUUAGCUGGGGGAGUCAUGGAAGGCUUCGCCACAGCCUGAGGGAUGAGAAGGAGCCAGUGGAGCCAAGGUUUGUUUAAGGUAGAGGAAACUGGAUCGCUGGCUUAGAGAUUGGGUUCUAUCCACUGUCAGAGGCCAUCAGGGCAAGGCUCCUCCUUGCCUUUUUAUAGCCGUUGUCCUUCUGUUAACCUGGCCACUAAGAAUAAGCUCAGACUGUGCCUGUGACUUUCCAUCCUCAUCAAUCUUUUGCAAAUGAAAUUCAAUGGCCAAUCAAUACAAUCACCUCCUUGAAUAUGCCCUCAACUCCCUUAUCCAUCUCAUGGUACUUUACUCCACUGCCCCAACCCACACUUGUUAAAUCCUACUGUCCACGGCCCGCCAUGUCUGCACCCACAGAGUGUAGCCGAAGAACACAUGUAACCUCACUGACUGGUCUCACUUUGGUUCCUAGAGGCCCUCAUGCAGGCCAGCAAUCUUAGGUGGUUUCCCUGGUCCUUCUCUCCCCAUCUCUCCUCACACAUUGAAGAAGACAGAGGAUGGAGCAUUAUGACCCGUGCCCUUCCGGACCAGGUGGAUAAAAGAGGAGCAGCCCUUGAAUCCAAGCACACUUAGCCCCAGCUACCCUCCUGCCACUCUUUUCACCAACACCAUGUCAUCCCACACCCCAAAGCACAGUUCCCCUUUCUAGAAACAUAUUCUUAUUCAGUUACACCCACAAGAUCUGUUCAGAGAAUCAAGGAGCAGCUGACUUUGGUGGUUGACAGGAGCCUAUAGCAAAGGAGUGGAGGUACACAAGACAGGGACAUUUUUUACUAAUUGCCCCAUUAAUCUUGGGCUAAUCAUCAGUUUCUGUCUCUGAGGUUUGCAUACAUGAUGAUGCAUAAGAGACUUUUUUCUUUUUUUUUUCUUUUUAGGGCCACACCUGUGGCACACAGAAGUUCCCAGGCUAGAGGUCAAAUUGGAGCUGCAGCUGCUGGCCUACACCACAGCCACAGCAUUACCAGAUUGGAGCAACAUCUGCAGCCUAUAAAGCAGGUCACAGCAACACCGGAUACUUAACCCACCGAGUGAGGCCAGAGACUGAACCUGUAUCUUUAUGGAUACUAAUUGGGUUCUUAACUCCCUGAGCCACAACAGGAACUCCAAGGAGACUAUCUUAAAAGUGCGAGAGUACUAAGUGAUCCGCAAACUAUAAUCCAAUAUUUAUAAUUCAAUAAAUUUUAUUAGCAUCAUAGAGAUAAAAUUUUGCAGAAACUGAAUGUAUCUGGUUAUUAAUCAGUCACAGUAACUUGAAGAAUAGCAAGCCUUCUUUUCACAGUUUUUUUCUUUCUCUCUAGUACACGUGUUCACCAUAAAACCACUGCCUAUAGCUUUAAUUUUAAUAGGAUUAGUCUUACAAUUUGGAUAUUACUAUCAAUCUUUUAUUUCUACUCCAAAGAGUGUCAUAAAUCCACCGACAUCCCACCUUGGUUCCUAAAGUUCAAAGUCUUGCACAAUUGCAAAAACAAACCCUUGGUGUUCAGAUUAAAAUCAGAUUUUUUUUCCCUUUGCACAUG
rnacentral:lncRNA from 1 species